rnacentral:rRNA from 1 species
CACCAGACUCCUACGGGAGGCAGCAGUGAGGAAUAUUGGUCAAUGGGAGGAAUCCUGAACCAGCCAUGCCGCGUGCAGGACGACGGCUCUACGAGUUGUAAACUGCUUUUGUACCGGGGUAAAAUGCCUUACGAGUAGGGUUUUGAAAGUACGGUACGAAUAAGGAUCGGCUAACUCCGUGCCAGCAGCCGCGGUAAUACGGAGGAUCCGAGCGUUAUCCGGAUUCAUUGGGUUUAAAGGGUGCGUAGGCGGGUUAUCAAGUCAGCGGUAAAAUCGUGGAGCUCAACUCCAUCCAGCCGUUGAAACUGAUGAUCUUGAGUGGGCGAGAAGUAUGCGGAAUGCGUGGUGUAGCGGUGAAAUGCAUAGAUAUCACGCAGAACUCCGAUUGCGAAGGCAGCAUACCGGCGCCCGACUGACGCUGAAGCACGAAAGCGUGGGUAUCGAACAGGAUUAGAUACCCCAGUA